AAAUAGUUUAUUUUUGAAGGCUGGUAAUUUAUUGCUAGUCUAAAUUUUUAUAUUGAAAACUAUGGAAGUAUGUUUUACCUACUGUGACGGUAGGUAGGAAAAACGAAUGGUGGUAAGCUUUGAAAUGUGUCAGCAAUGAUAGAUUGGGUUUGCUGGUUGCUAGAUGUAGCAAAAAAUUGGUGAGUCGGCGCAGUAGAACAAUCCUGUACAAAUAUAGUUUAAAAAUUGAAACAAGUAUAUAUAGACUAUAUAGAGGAACACCUUUUGUAUGAAUAAUUUGCUUAGAAGGCUGAUAAGUUAAAACUAUUCAAAAAUAAUCUACCUUGCUUGUAUAGAAAACUAUAGAACUUUACUUUACCUAUUGUAAUUGGUUAUAAAUCGUGUCACAUGAACUAAAUGUUAUCAAUAACUUCAUAUCAGUCUCCAAUGAGUCAAAGUUAAUAACAUCAUUGUUGAUAUGCUUCGAAUCUUACCAUAAUUCACUUUUCCUCAUAUACAUGUAAAACAUAAUUACUUAGUCUUCUAUACAAGAAGUUUAUAUUAGUUUUGAAUUACCAACCUUCAAAAGCAAACUAUUGAACAAUUGUCUCUAUUCAUUUAUUCUCCUCUAAUGACACUUUUUGAUUUCUUGUAGAUUGAUCCUCCUUUAAGAGGUUAAUUUUUGUUACCAAAUUUUGUAUUGACCAAUAUGUCUUUUGCGAUUUUGUGUUAGACUUGUACAAAUUGACAAUUUUGAUACUUUUGGUUUUUUGAACGAUUUUGAUAUUCUUUGUAUAUUCUUUAGUUUUUUAAUGUUUAGUUAGAAUAAUUAGAAGAUGACACAUAUAUAUAUAUAUAAAAC
rnacentral:sRNA from 1 species